rnacentral:rRNA from 1 species
UAUGUGAUCGUCUCUCGCAUAUCAAUAAGCGGAGGAAAAGAAACUAACAAGGAUUUCCCCUAGUAACGGCGAGUGAAGCGGGAAGAGCUCAAAUUUGAAAUCUUAAAGGGUUUCCCUUUACGAAUUGUAGUUUAAAGAAGUGUUUUCUGUUGAGGUUUUGGUAAAAGUUCUUUGGAAUAGGACAUCAUAGAGGGUGAGAAUCCCGUAUUUGACCUUUACUUUCAACUUUGUGAUACACUUUCAAAGAGUCGGAUUGUUUGGGAAUGCAGUCCAAAAUGGGUGGUAAAUUUCAUCUAAAGCUAAAUAUUGGCGAGAGACCGAUAGCGAACAAGUACCGUGAGGGAAAGAUGAAAAGAACUUUGAAAAGAGAGUUAAACAGUACGUGAAAUUGUCAAAAGGGAAGCGUUUGACACCAGUGUUGUUUUUCUGAAAAUCAAAUUAAAGAACUGUUUAUGCUAAGCUGUUUAGACUUUAUCAGCUAUCUGUUUAGUUUUGAGCUUUUCUUUAAUGCACUUUUCAGUUAACAAGUCAACAUCAAUUUCUUUUGCUGUAAAAAAGCUUGAGGAAGGUGGCUUGAGAUUCGUCUUAAGUGUUUAUAGCCUCUUGCCUAUGCAGUCGGAGAGAUUGAGGUCUGCAGCGUAGAUCCUUCGGGGCUAAAUGCAUUUGUGCUAAGUUAUAACAUUUUAUAGACAACUUGUUGACUAUGAUUUGUCUUGUAGCUUACUCGCUUAUGUUAUUUUACCUACGCUUAGGAUGUUGAAGUCAUCACACAUCUCU